UACAGAGGGUGCAAGUGUUGUUCGGAAUCAUUGGGCGUAAAGGGCGCGUAGGCGGUGUGAUAAGUCAGGUGUGAAAGCCCUGGGCUUAACCCAGGAAUUGCAUUUGAAACUGUCACGCUAGAGUGCGAAAGAGGAGGGUGGAAUUCCCGGUGUAGAGGUGAAAUUCGUAGAUAUCGGGAGGAACACCAGCGGCGAAAGCGGCUCUCUGGGUCGACACUGACGCUGAGUGCGCGAGAGCGUGGGGAGCAAACAGGAUUAGAUACCCUGGUAGUCCACGCUGUAAACGAUGAGUACUAGAUGUUGGAGGUUUUGACCCCUUCAGUAUCGUAGCUAACGCAAUAAGUACUCCGCCUGGGAAGUACGGCCGCAAGGCUAAAACUCAAAG
rnacentral:rRNA from 1 species